GCCUGGGCCUGGGCCUAUUUAGGAUUCUGUUAUUUGAGUGUUUUCUCAUCACAUCUUUCCCCCAUCCCAGCUCAAAAGUCUCAGAUAAUCAAAGACUCUAGAAAUAAUGGUUAUUUUCAAUUUUUUAUUUUCUUGAGUUCUAAACGACAAGGACAGAGGAGGAAUGAUAAAUCUAAGGUUUUUACAUCUCUAAUUCCAACCCAUUUCAUUUGAGCAAAUCCAUCUUAAAGUAGAGGCAGCACAAGAGACGAGGGUAUCUUCUUUGUAAGAGGGGUCUACUAGUAUUGUCUACGGGUAUUGUUUACUAGUAUUGAGCUGCUUCUGAAUUAACUCCUUGCAAUCAGUCACUGAUUAGGAAACUGCAACUGCCCAGUGAUUAGAAUUUCAGGUGCACCAAGUUAAAAACCUCUUAUAAACCCAGUGCAGGGUCACAUGGUUGUUUCUCAGGUGAAGGGGCCACCACAGCUCCGGACAGAAGGCAACCAUUGGAGAGCAGGGAGGGGAUGGAGUGUAUGUGAGGGGAGUGUGAUGAGGGGUUUCAUUUGUCACUCUCUUUGAGUCUGUCUGAAGACCUCCCCACAUAGGGCCUACAACCACUUCUACAGCCCGGGCCUAAGAGCAGGUGCCUCACAGGCUUUUUCUGAUUCCUCUGUUCUUGUUAACACAGGGCACAGCUGUGUGGUCCCCACUCUCUGUAAAACUAAAACCACCAUCUCCCAAGGCUUCAGCCAGAAGAGUGAGCUAACAAUGCACAGGCCAAAAGAAAACUGGACUUGGAAAAACUAGCUUCACACAAGGCAAGGAUGCAAUCUGAAGCACACUUUCCAAUGUCAGAAAAUGAUUAAAAAACCAAAAACCAACCACCUCCACUCCACAAUCAGCUUUCCAAAUGGCUGUUUCUCAUGCACCCAAUAUCCAAGUUUUGUCACAGCAAGAGAUGAGACUGUUCUGAGGGAAUGUGAGCGACUUCUUAACCUGGACAGAUGCACACUGGCAGCUUCACUCACGACACUAAGCCAGACAUUUACUCUAAUGAUACCAUCAUUGCUGGCCCCCACCCCCAUCGUUCCCCCAGCCACUUCCCAACCGUCUGGGAACUGCAUCCUUUAGAAUAUCCCGAUUGGCACUACUCGGCCUCCUCUGAGGAUACAUUUGAUUUGGGACGGCAACCAUGUUUGGUGAGAAAGGUGAAUCAAGCUAGAUUAUACCAACUGGCGUGAAGCACAGGUUACGACUGUAUAAGGAAGGAGGUCGA
rnacentral:lncRNA from 1 species